AAUGAGUAAGUUUAGAAGCAAUUAUUUUAAAAUUCAUAGUACUUAAAUUUAUUGAAUUUCUGCAGAUGCGAGCGCCGAUUUGAAGGUCAUAAUAGCCGUUGUCAUCCAUGUGGAAUUAGUGUUUCUCCUUGUGGCCAGUUCAUCGCUUGUGGAUCUGAAGAUAAAUGUGCUUAUAUAUAUGAGAAGCAUUCCAGCACCUAUUCUUAUAAACUGACAGGACACACUGAAUCUGUAAUCAAUGUGGCUUUUAAUCCGUCAUCUCCCCAGCUCAUUACAGCUACCUUGGAUGGCAAAUUGCAAUUGUUUCUACCCUGAUAAUGAUCAGACCUGGCAUCUUUGGUUUUCCUGCAUCGAUAAUUAAACUUCUUGAAAGAAAAAAAAAAGAUAUAUAGCUGAGCAUGGUAACUGGGCAAGCUGUAUAGCAUAUUUUAAUUAAAUAGAGUCUUCCAGAUUUGUUCUACUAUUUGUCAACCAACUGGGAUUUGCUUAAAAAAAUAAUUUUACUGCUGGAAAAGCAGCUUCACAGGUGAUACCAAAUGAAAGAUUUUAAAUAUUUUGUGUAUUUAGAUUAUUUUUAGCUCAAGAGUUAAAUUUCUGUAGUGUAUAAAUUUCUAAUGUGUUUUACUGAUAUUUUGGGUGGUUGUUUCUAUAACCAUCCUUUAACCAUUCUAUAAUUUUUUAUUAUUACACAGAUUAAAUAAAACUUUUGCUCUUCAGUUGCUUGCUAACACCUAAACCUCAAUAAUAAAGAAACAGUCUACUCAUUCCUUUUGCAUCUUGAUUUAAUUAUAGAGACCAUCUGAUAUGUUAAGAAUUUCCUUUGGAUUUGGAAAUGCUAGCAAUAUUUUAAUAGAUUUCAUGUACCUUUGAUUUUAUGUGGUCAAUAGACACUAUUAUGCAAUGCAUUUCUCCUUUUCCUCUAAAAAUUCUUUAGUUGUCUAAUAAUAUAUGACUCUUUUUAAAAAAGAAUCAUAGAAAAUGCCACUUUCUCAACAAGAGUGUUAAAAUAUCAGUAAGGAUAGGUAUUUUUUGCAGGAUUUUUAAAAGUUAAUGUUUAACUAUGCUUAAUGUUCUUUCAUACAACUGUAAAUCUCCUGGAAUAAAGUAAAAUAAGUUAAUAAAGUAAAAUAGAUAAAAAUAAUAAAUAGUUUCACCAUUCUCAGAACUAUAAGAAUGGAAGCUCAAUCAAAAUAAAGGCCACUAUGAUUUAAGACACAUUUAUUUCACUAUUUAUACUUUCCAUAAUAUGGAAACAAGUGGUCAUUGGAUACAAAUUCUUCAGUAAAUUAGUCAGAAGAUUUUUAAAUAAUAUGGUGUGAGUGAUCAAAAUGUGUUUAGUUAAUUGUGGAUAAUUAUAAUACUUAUGAAAUAUUUAAUUAGAUGUAAUGUAUAUUAAAAUAAAUCCUGCUGAUAAUAAUAAAAAAAGCUUGAUGGGAUCAAUAUCCAAUAUAUUAUUUUUAUAAUGGCAAGCAGCAAUUUGUUAUGCUUACACUAAGAAUCCUUAUAGAUUACAUGUUUAAAAGAAAUAUUCUGCCAUAUGAGAAGGAAUAUAGUCUAAUAUUUGACAUGUAGUUACAAAAUAAGCCUUUUGGUUCAAUCUUCAAAGGCAUCCAUACUUUUAGCAGUAUGAUUGCCGAAAGCACAGAUGCCUCUGAAAGAGUAGAUCACCAGUAGAAUAUUGCUUGAUAGGAAUUCUCCUGCUGUUUAUAGUGAAUUUAAACCUUUAUAUAAUACUUGAAUAGGGAUAGACCCCCUCCCUUUAUGCAGAAUAAUGGUCUGUAGUGGCAUAGGAGAAGGGGUGAAGCUGCUGUAAUAAUUUCUGCUUCUUCAGCUAUGGCCCCAUUCCCAUUUUUUUAGAAUUCUCAUUUCUCCUUUUCAAUAUUAUCUGCCUCUUUGUCUCUAUUCUGUCUCUCUCUUUGUGUCUAAAGGAUAACUCCUUAUCUGAAAAGUAAUAUGAAAUAUUAUAUUCCAUAAAUACAGUACCAAUCGAAAUGUAAAAGAAGCAGCUGAAGUUGCAGGUUGCUAUGCAAAAGGUCCUUAAGUUUGUUGUACAAUUUAAUGAAUCUAUUUAUCAAAGUCAAAUUUCUGUUUUUCCAAACAAUGAGUGUAAAUUGCUGCAUUUGAUAGGCUAUUCAAGUUGAACUGUCUUAUCAUUGAGCUAACCGACAAGGUUUCUGCAGUUUUGUAUUUAAAUUCUUUAUGUCAUGUUUGUACAGGAGGGAAAAUUUGUUUCACUUAAAACUGUGAGUGAUGGAUCUUCUUCAGUGGAUAGAUACCAUUUACCAUCUGUUGGGUGUAUUUAACUUUUUUUUGCUGACUGAUCAGUAUGGCAAAGAGUCAAUGCAAAUUAGCACUUGACAAAAUCCUGUAUUGAGGAAAUAGCUAGUGCAUAUAGUAAUUACAAGACUAGAUGAUUUUCAUGGAGAUCUCUCAAGGCAGUCCAACAAUCAAACAUCCAAUGCUGACACCAUAAGAAAACCAUUUAAAAAUAAAAAUGAUCAACAGAUGAGUAGCUGUUAGUUGAAAGCUAGGCAAUCAGAUCACAGUCAUGUACAAUCUAGACAUUUCUCAUGGCUCAUGUAUAGUUGUAGCUGUAUUUGGACAAUCUUACAAGACUUAUUACAAGACUAACUGCUGCCCCUCUGUUGAUCAUUUUUUGUUUUUAAAUGGUUUUCUUCUUGUGUCAGUGUUGGAUGUUUUGAUUAUUGGACAGUAUGAAAUCCCUUAUGAAAUAUACACUGCAAAAAAUGCAAACACAUAGACACAGGUGCAGACAAAUUGAUCAGAUCAAUAGUUUAUUUCUGCAAUUGUUCAGACUCCAGAUGUUUUGGUAAUUUUUUAAAAUUCUCACAUUGAAGAAAAUUAAUUAAAAAAAAACCUGUUCCAAAUUGCUAGAUUUCUUUGCCAAUGGUCCCACCAUCACAAUAAAUUGUUAUUUCUGAUUAUUCUA